UACGUAGGGUGCGAGCGUUGUCCGGAAUUAUUGGGCGUAAAGAGCUCGUAGGCGGUCUGUUACGUCUGCUGUGAAAACCCGGGGCUCAACCCCGGGCCUGCAGUGGGUACGGGCAGACUAGAGUGUGGUAGGGGAGACUGGAAUUCCUGGUGUAGCGGUGAAAUGCGCAGAUAUCAGGAGGAACACCGAUGGCGAAGGCAGGUCUCUGGGCCACUACUGACGCUGAGAAGCGAAAGCAUGGGGAGCGAACAGG
rnacentral:rRNA from 1 species